CUUCAGUGAUGAUGCUUGAUGACGAGUCUGAUGGGAUUUGACCUGUCUCAGGGUUCUUGAUCCAGUUAGCAUGUUCUGUGCUUCUGAAUUUGGAGUCCUGAGUGCUGUCCCUUCUAUUGAUGACUUUGAGGCAUUUGUCUGAGAAGG